rnacentral:rRNA from 1 species
GCGGUUAUACUUGUUCUCCCACUCAAAGAUAAAAUAUGAAUAGAAUUUAAUGAGUUUGUCUAAUAAAUAAGACGUAAAAGUAUUUUCAAAAAUAGUAUAAUAAACUGGAUUAGUACCCAGGUAAAACAAUGAAUUAAGUAAGGUAAUACCUAAAUUAAAUGGCAGUAUUUAGAGGAAGUAGAGAAACUUGAAGUUUAGAAAAUCCACUUUAUUAUUGAUUCUCUAAAAGUUUAAGUAUGGCUGUCCAAAAAUAAGUUUGUACUUAAAUUUGUAGUCAAGCAGCAUUUAAUUUAGAGAAAAUCUUUGAGUUGCAAAAAUUAGUUUAAUAAAAUUUAUUAAAAUAAGGAUUUACAAGUAAAAAUAAUUUUGAAAAAAAUCUAAGUACA